rnacentral:lncRNA from 1 species
GGGGGGGCGAGAGGCCGCGGGACAGCGGCCUGAGGUGCGACAAGUGGCCGCAGCCGAAAAUUCUUUGAUCCUGGAAGGCAACUGGGGGCCAAUUCGCACCUUUUCUUGGACCUUCUGCAACUUUUUCACUCCCAUCGCACUUAUAACUGUGAUGUUUCUGAUCUCAAAGUACGCUGCCCAGCUUACGGAGUUCCACUGUCAUCUCUUCCCACAGAAAUGGGUGUAUUGGCGUCCUCCAGCACCAAAACUAACCCGCCUGCAUCCCUGCUGCUCGCUCCGGUCUGUGCCCUCCUCGUGUGUCACGGACGGAGGUGACGGGGACGCCUUUGUCCACCCUGCGGGCUGGUGUGCGCUGACUUUUCUCCAGGCCCUGCUGCGAUCACAGCGUGUUGCUCCGCAGAGUCAUUUCACUUCAAGGAUUAUCAAUCGUACAACUUCAUACUUCUAGGUCUCUGCUUUCCCGAUCGCUGCCGUGGUCGUAAACCAAAUCCUCUUUCGUCUUUAUCUCUCUUGGAUGCCGUGAUGCUGCCGAGCGAGGCGCAAUUAACUCUGCUCCAGGGUUUCUCUCUGCCCCCGGAGACGCUGCAGGAAGGUGCCAGAGCUGCAAACACGAGCCCGCAUCCAGGUUUUUACAGCAUCCCCGUUGCCGAGCGCAACGUGGAUCAUCCCCAGCAUCACCGUGGAAGAAAGGGCAGCGUGGAGAUGCCGGUUUGCCGGGGAGAUCAAUC